AAAAAGACAAACCCUGGGUUUCCGUGUCCAACUUUGACUGUCCGUCUUAUAUAAAAUUUUUUUAUAAUUCGUAUUUUCAUUGUUGUUAGAUGAUAAAACAUGAUUAAUAUUUUAUGCGUGACUUGUCUUUUUAAUUUUUUUUAUAAUUUUUUAAAAUAAGAUGGACGGUUAAACGUUUGGCACGGUUUAUC
rfam:Oryza rufipogon genomic scaffold, chr06